CGAAAGCUCGAACAACAGUGCAAGCAAACAUGUUAGCCCAAGCAUCCAAAAUCCAUUCACAUACGGUGACGUAACUCGCCUGGUGUUGCCUCCCAGUCUUCGUAAAGCUGUGUUCGCCAUCUGUCAUCCAUCGCUCACACGCCAGCUUUUCCUUGUAAUCCGCCGGAAGUUGCUGCGCCAUAGUAGUCCUUGCCCGGAGGGAAAAAUGGCGCCGUUUCAUAAAACGAAAGCACCAAGACGGACCUCCUUGAAAAUUUUCAAUUUUCAUUUCUUCUGCAAGCGUUAUUGCCCUCAGUCGGAUACAAAAAUACAUGCAAAAAUAUAAUGGCAUAGUUUAGGGCUAGGGGAAAAAAUAAUAAAUUAGCUAGUCGACUUAAAAAAUAGGCCGAUGCAGUAUUUCGGACACGAAGCUCCGCCGGGACCCCCCCCCCCCAAAAUUAAAUGAAAUUAAAAAAAAAGUUCCGCCAGGAAAAAUGUUUGUGCUGCCAUGUUUCACAUGGACAUUUAUUCCAGACGGACGCAGUGUUGGCCUACUGAUGAACAAAAACAACAGAGGAGCAUCUUCUGCUGUGUGCAAAUACAGUACCUCAGCAUGUGGUUCACAGACACGCACUCUUCGGGACAUCAAUGAGGGAAGGACCGACCACUCCCACUGUUCUCUAGUUCCAU